UGUGAUAGCUCAGUUGGUUAGAGCAUGGUGCUGAUAACACCAAAGUUUGCAGGUUCGAACCCCAUAUGGGACAG
rnacentral:tRNA from 1 species